ensembl:lncRNA
GAUCGACCAAGACUUCAAUAUGCUCUUUGGUGAUGAAGUGACUGGUAAAUUCCUCGCUAAAUGGCCAACAUUCUUCAAACCGAAGGUCAUUGCGGAGUGCAAAAAUCUUCCUCGAAGUGUGCACGUGGAUGACCUCCUUUUGUCUGCCCAACAGGAAUCUGAUGAUGAUGAUGGUGUCUGGGACUGUGAGGUUGCCGCCAUCUGCCUGUUGCUUCACCUGUUGCCUCCAACAUCCAAGGGCAAGAAGUCUGCAAAGAUCAGCGCAACGGAUGCUACUGUCCGCCUGGUGAAGUUCCUUAAGGUGGGGAGAAGCAUGGAGACCUUCCUGAAGGAAACUGGCCCUGCUCAGCCCUUUCUCCUGUGUGUUGGAGAACGAAAAAACAGCAUCCAGAAUUUCUACAUCAUCCUGGACCAAAAGGCCAUUCCCUCCAAGACGCAGACUGGAGUUGCUGCCUUUGACGAGCUCUUCAAGGCACAUUUUGCUUUUGCUGUGUCCUAUGAUGAGGCGCUGUGCAACUUCUACACCUUCAUCCAGACAACCGUGUAUGGCAUUGACGUUGGCAGUGUGAAGGAGACCCCUCGGGUGAAGGAAAUUAGAGUAAGACUUCUUCACAGUUCAUUUUGAAGAGGAACUCAUUUCUGACUUGAAAUGUUUACAUGUUACAUUUGCAAGGUACAGCACAGAAAUUGUUCAUUGUUAUGUCGACAUUUGAAGUUCCAGCAUGGAUUGUACCCAGGAAGGUCUUUGCGUUUGCGUUGUGGAGAGGCUGGUUGUUCAUUUGUUUUUUGCACAUACUUCGGUUACCAGCGGCACUUAUCUCGAGCACAUAAGGAUGGUGGUGAUUCAGAUUCCGUCAGUGAUGUUGAGUUUGUUCCUGCAACUAAUGUUGGAGCUUCUGUUUCACAACAAGUUAAUGUAGAUCCUCCUGCGACUGUCACUACACACAUUCCAAUUGAUAAAACGAAAAUACUAUGUGCAGCUCUGUUAUUGCUCAACUGCAAUCCUCAGGAGUUCCUGAAAGUACGGUGCAGGGUUUAGUUGGUUCAAUGGAGGAACUGGUCGAUGACAUCCAUGCCCAUGCAAAAGAAACCGUUGUUGAAUGUUUUUCAUCUGAAGCAUCCGGAUCCACAUUGAAAAAAGUUCAGGAUUGUUUUGGUCAGCUUGAAAAUCCAUUUUCAUCUCUUAACACAGAAUCGAAACGAAAGAAGCACUUAGAAGAAAAAUGGAAAAUAGUGGAACCAGUGGAGUAUAUUCUUGGUGUGCAUUUUGAUACACGCAGAGAUAGAACAACAGGAACAUAUAGGCAAGUUCCUGUAAACGACAAGUUCAUGUAUGUACCCAUCAUGGGGUCUCUUUCAUCUAUGUUUAGGAACAGGGAACUUUCUAACAGUUUCCAAAAAACUAAACCACACCAGGAGGGUUUUUACAGAGAUGUAAAUGAUGGCUCAUACUUCAGGAACCACAUUUUAUUCUCACAACAAGAAAAUGCUUUGCAGAUACAGCUCUACUACAAUGAUUUUGAAACUGCUAAUCCAUUAGGCUCAAAAAAGGGAAUUCACAAACUUGGCUGCAUUUAUUUUAUUUUGAGAAAUCUUUCCC